rnacentral:tRNA from 1 species
GCAGUGAUAGUUCAGUGGUAUAACUCUUGCUUUCCGCGCAGCAGACCUGGAUUCGAUUCCAGUCAAUGCA